GAUGAACGCUGGCGGCGUGCUUAACACAUGCAAGUCGAACGGAAAGGCCGAAGCUUGCUUCGGUACUCGAGUGGCGAACGGGUGAGUAACACGUGGGUGAUCUGCCCUGUACUUCGGGAUAAGCUUUGGAAACUGGGUCUAAUACCGGAUAUGACGAUCUCUUGGAUGGGGUUGUGGAAAGCUUUUGCGGUAUGGGAUGAGCUCGCGGCCUAUCAGCUUGUUGGUGGGGUAAUGGCCUACCAAGGCGUCGACGGGUAGCCGGCCUGAGAGGGUGUACGGCCACAUUGGGACUGAGAUACGGCCCAGACUCCUACGGGAGGCAGCAGUGGGGAAUAUUGCACAAUGGGCGCAAGCCUGAUGCAGCGACGCCGCGUGGGGGAUGACGGCCUUCGGGUUGUAAACUCCUUUCGCAAUCGACGAAGCCUUUUGGUGACGGUAGGUUGAGAAGAAGCACCGGCUAACUACGUG
rnacentral:rRNA from 1 species